AGCGCUUCGGCUGACCGCGCUCGUUUCGGCCCCGCCCCGCCGCACACGAGGCAGCGCGCCGGGCUCUGUGCCCAGCCGGGCCGCGGAGGCCAUGGGGUCACGGCAAGCUGGCCGCCGCGCUGCUGCGAGGACGUGGGCGUGGCGUUCGCCCUGGACUCGAACUCGCGCUCAGUGCGGCCACCAUGCAGAGACGCCCGGUCCCCGCCUCUGUACAGAAGGCUGCCCCCGCGGCACGUGAGCGGCGUCCCUUCUUCACACCUGCGUUCGUAAAACAGGUACUUGCUGACCACCUGCUAGGCUCCCCGCACUGCGUACCCACGGCCAGCUGACGGUCGUAACUGACCUCGGCUGCCCCUGCCAGUGACAUGGUUAACUGGUGACGCAUUCCCAGUCCAGGUCUCCUUGAGGAGUCUGUGGAGUCCAAAGGGCAGUUCUUCCGGAAACCCAGGCAAACAGUUACGUUAGCUGGUAGAGAAAAGACACUGUUGAAGAAAAUAAGGCUGAGUCGUUAUGAAUAAAGUGAGUGACACCUGUAGAGAGCGACGUGCUCCAGUGACGCAGAGAAGUGCUAGUACAGGGGUCAAACUGCUGGUUGAUAACUGUUUAUUAGUGCAAAUGACAGCGUGGAGAACUGAAUACUUCCUGAAAGCCUUGUUCCUCCAGGCACUGAAAGUCUAGGAGAUCGACACUUAACCUGACUUUUGCCCCACUGCCUGACAUUGACUUUUGUUUCCACUCCUUAAAGAGUAUUCCUUAUCUGGGCAAGAUAGGCAGUAAUUAAAGGAUGGAAGAAAGAACGGAUGCAGAGAACUGCCAGCCAAGUGAUCAAGCACAGCACAAAGAACUUCCAGAGCUAUCCAUGCACCUCAUGCUUCUUUGAGGGAUAGUGAGGGUGGGACUGUUCUCAUUUUAUAACAGUGGGAAUUUUAGCUGUAGGGCACAAAAAAUCAUUCAUCCAGUUAGUUCUUUGCACAUCUAAAACAAGAUCUCUGUGUUCUGAGCUAGCUUCACAUUUUUUAAUGACCAGAUUUUGUUCUUAAGAUAUCACAGAGUGUGUUUAUGUCAACCUAGAUCAGGUAGCCUAUUACAUGCCUAGACUAUAUGCUGUAUAUAUGUUCUUGUGGCACGACCUAUUAUUCCUAGGGCCACAAUGACAAAACAUCAGGUGAUUUAUGUCAAGCAGAAGAAAAAAAAUGAUGUGAUUUAGAGACUUGGUAAAUACAAAAUGCAUGAAGUGAGCCCAAGUAACACCUAUGCUGUGUUAAAAUUUUUAGUGAGUAGGAAUAAUUCUAAAUGAUAAUCUAAGUAUGGAAUAACAAUACAUAAACCAUCACAGCGUCAUUUGUUGCCUUUUUCAAGUAACUGGUGUUGUGUCCUGUACAUGUGUGCACUACAUGUUAGGAGAAGCACAGCAGGUGUGCUGACACUCAGCAUCAUCACCAACCCAAGCAAUGAGCUGCAUUAAAACAUCACCAUGGCUUGUGACACCACUAGGUGAUAGUAGUCUCUCAACGCCUUCAUAAUCUCUCAGGAACCACUGGGGUCUAGCAUUGACCAGAACCACCUUGGUACAGCAUGUGCAGCAGAAUGAUUAGCAGUAUAAUGUUUGUUGAGUGCUUUGUGUACAUGACACUUUAAGGAUGGGAAGAUAUCUGGCUGAAAGGCUAUAAUUCACUCUAGUUUAAUUCCAUCUGUGCUUAUUCAUUUGCACAUCUUCUUGACACCAUUUUUCUUUCCAUUGUAAAUGUCCCUUGGACCUGCACAUUCCAAUCAUCCACAUGUGACUUUUAGAUAAAAUGAAGUAGAUUUUAAAAUCCUAUUGCUGGAUUGCACUAGCCACAUUUCAGGUGCUCAGUAGUCAGGUGUGGCUACUGUGUAAGACUAAAUAGACACAGGACAUUUUCAUCAUUGUAGCAAAUUCACUUGGACCAUGAUAGACCCAGUAAGAAUUUCAAAGGAAAAGAGAAUUGGUAAGUUAUAAAGAGUAGUCUUUUUAAAAGGGUAGCAAAAAACAAAAACACAAGUAUAAUUAAAAAAAAAAAACAAAUGUGACAAGUGCUACACAAUCAUUUUUUAAAAAUAAAGCCACCAAGUGUGUCCUUUGUUAUUUUUUCCCGGUUCUCUGUUUACUUCAAUUUCUCCAUCUCUUCCAAGUUUCUCUCUUAUCUUCCUCACCUCUCUUUUUCUGCUCCAUGAUUGGCCAUUCUAGAACUGAAGUACAAUUUAAAAUAUUUCCAUCCUUGGGCAUACUGGAUAAAGUUGAGUAUCAUCCUGUUCUUAAAUUAUUUGUUUCUGCACUGGCCAUCCAAUCUGGGCCCCCUUGUGUGGAAGUACUCUACCAUGGAGCUGAACUCCUAGCCUAUGUUCUUAAUUUUUAAGUCAGCACAGUUUCACUUUUACUGUGACUUACAAAAUUAGUCCAGUAAUAACCAAAUUGAGCUCCUUUUAACUUCUCUUGUGGCCCUUUGUUGUUUCUCUUCUGUAGGACAGUGACCCCUACAAGAAAAAAACGCUCUCUAGUUUUUGGAGGAGAUAGUACAGGAAGUACCCUAGAAUAACUGCAUGACCUACAGACCUUUGUGUUGGUUUAUGAGAACACAAUGACUGGCUUUUUUUUUUUUUCCUGCAGGGAAUUUAUCUGAGAUAUUUUUCCUAUAGGGCCUUGUCAGUGACACACUCAUUACAUUAGGUUGUCUUAUGCUCCUUCCUCUCCUUCCCCUCCACCUGUGAAAAGCAAGUAUGAGGAUAGGCACUUUGUUUACAAGUCUGAUAAAAAUAUCAGGAAGUCUACCCAAGAGAGCUAAUUUUAAAGUAAGCACCAGGACUGUACAGAGGGGGCAUGAGAAAUUACAAUUAACCCCAACUUUAUUUUCAUCCUGUGAACCAUGACACGGUGCAACUCUGUGCCCUUGAAAGUUUGAAUGAAAUGGUUGCAAACAGGCCUCCCAGGUUGGAAACUACCACAGCUUUCAUUGGUAUUUCUGGGUUCUAUCCAAUGCAAAUGCAAAAUUAAAAAAAAAACAACAAAAAAAAACUUAUUGGUCUCUUUGUAUUUGCCAGGCUCUUCAUAGACAACGUCUCAUUUAAUUGCGAAUCC
rnacentral:lncRNA from 1 species